AAAAUCUGAUAGCAGCUUUCAAAUACAGCUUAGAUUUGAACCAGGAGUCGACAUGUCAAGAAUAUUUCACUGAUGAAGCUGAAUCUUCCAAAAAGAAAGUUCACCUUGAUAAUGUCUCUUUAUCUGUCACUUGUGACAAUACAGAAGUUGAAAUUUGUUCCUCGGAUAACAUUAUACCUUGCAAG